CAAGGUCCUUCCUUUCCACGGUACAUUUCUGGAAGAACCUCGUUAGAAUUAACUCUCAGGUUACGUCCCAAAAUAGCACCCUGUUCCCUAUAUAGUGCACUUCUUCUUGACCAGAGCCCUUAGCAGAGCACGAUGUAGGGCCCUAGUCAAAGGUAGUGCACUACGUAGGGAUUAGGGUGUCAUUUGGGACGCAAACUUUUUUUAAAAACAGUCACGCAAACAUCUAGUAUUCUCAGGGACAACAACAACAUGACACGGCUGUUACCACGGUACUGUAGGUACAGGGACAACAUGACACGGCUGUUACCACGGUACUGUAGGUACAGGGACUACAACAACAUGACACGGCUGUUACCACGGUACUGUAGGUACAGGGACUACAACAUGACACGGCUGUUACCACGGUACUGUAGUUACAGGGACUACAACAUGACACGGCUGUUACCACGGUACUGUAGGUACAGGGACAACAUGACACGGCUGUUACCACGGUACUGUAGGUACAGGGACUACAACAACAUGACACGGC